rnacentral:rRNA from 1 species
GACGAACGCUGGCGGCGUGCUUAACACAUGCAAGUCGAACGGGGUGUUUAUUUCGGUAAACACCAAGUGGCGAACGGGUGAGUAACGCGUAAGCAAUCUACCUUCAAGAUGGGGGACAACACUUCGAAAGGGGUGCUAAUACCCGAAUGAAUGUAAGAGUGUCGCAUGAGACACUUACUAAAAGGAGGCCUCUGAAAAUGCUUCCGCUUGAAGAUGAGCUUGCGUCUGAUUAGCUAGUUGGUGAGGGUAAAGGCCCACCAAGGCGACGAUCAGUAGCCGGUCUGAGAGGAUGAACGGCCACAUUGGGACUGAGACACGGCCCAGACUCCUACGGGAGGCAGCAGUGGGGAAUAUUGCACAAUGGGGGAAACCCUGAUGCAGCGACGCCGCGUGAGCGAAGAAGUAUUUCGGUAUGUAAAAGCUCUAUCAGCAGGGAANAAGAAAUGACGGUACCUGACUAAGAAGCACCGGUCUAACUACGUGCCAGCAGCCGC